rnacentral:rRNA from 1 species
GUUUGAUCCUGGCUCAGAACGAACGUUGGCGGCGUGGAUUAGGCAUGCAAGUCGAACGCGAACGUGGAACUUCGGUUCCACUAGUAGAGUGGCGAACGGGUGAGUAGCGCGUGGGCAAUCUACCCUCGAAUGGGGAAUAACCAUUCUAACGAAUGGCUAAUACCGCAUACGAUCGCUUCUUCGCAUGGAGAGGCGAUAAAAGGUGGGGAUCUUCGGACCUGCCGUUUGAGGAGGAGCCCGCGUCCCAUUAGCUUGUUGGUGGGGUAAUGGCCUACCAAGGCAUCGAUGGGUAGCCGAUCUGAGAGGAUGACCGGCCACACUGGGACUGAGAUACGGCCCAGACUCCUACGGGAGGCAGCAGUCGAGAAGCUUCGGCAAUGGGGGAAACCCUGACCGAGCGACGCCGCGUGCGGGAUGAAGGCUUUCGGGUCGUAAACCGCUGUCAGGAGGGAAGAAUCCCCUUAGGUUAAUAACCUGAGGGUUGACGGUACCUCCAGAGGAAGCUCCGGCUAACUCCGUGCCAGCAGCCGCGGUAAUACGGGGGAGCGAACGUUGUUCGGAUUCACUGGGCGUAAAGGGCGUGUAGGCGGUUUUGCAAGUCAGAGGUGAAAUUUCUCGGCUCAACCGGGAACCUGCCUUUGAAACUGCUGAACUUGAGGCCGUGAGAGGAGACUGGAAUUCCUAGUGUAGCGGUGAAAUGCAUAGAUAUUAGGAAGAACACCAGCGGCGAAGGCGAGUCUCUGGCACGGUUCUGACGCUGAUGCGCGAAAGCUAGGGGAGCGAACGGGAUUAGAUACCCCGGUAGUCCUAGCCGUAAACGAUGGGCACUAGGUGUUGGCCGAUCGACCCGGUCAGUGCCGCAGCUAACGCAUUAAGUGCCCCGCCUGGGGAGUACGACCGCAAGGUUGAAACUCAAAGGAAUUGACGGGGGCCCGCACAAGCGGUGGAGCAUGUGGUUUAAUUCGACGCAACGCGAAGAACCUUACCCAGGCUUGACAUUCUAGGGACAGCCUCAGAGACGAGGUUUUCCUUCGGGACCCUAGGACAGGUGCUGCAUGGCUGUCGUCAGCUCGUGUCGUGAGAUGUUGGGUUAAGUCCCGCAACGAGCGCAACCCUUGCCCUUAGUUGCCAGCGGUUCGGCCGGGCCCUCUAAGGGGACUGCCCCGGAAAACGGGGAGGAAGGUGGGGAUGACGUCAAGUCCUCAUGGCCCUUACGCCUGGGGCUACACACGUGCUACAAUGGUCGGUACAGAGGGUUGCAAUGCCGCGAGGUGGAGCUAAUCCCAAAAAGCCGGCCUCAGUUCGGAUUGCAGUCUGCAACUCGACUGCAUGAAGUCGGAAUCGCUAGUAAUCGCGGAUCAGCAUGCCGCGGUGAAAACGUUCCCGGGCCUUGUACACACCGCCCGUCAAGUCAGCCGAAUUGAGUGCUCCCUAAGAGCUUGAUCUGACCCGCAAGGGGGGAAGGGCUCCAAGGAGUGCUUGGUGAGGGGGACUAAGUCGUAACAAGGUA